GACGAACGCUGGCGGCGUGCUUAACACAUGCAAGUCGAACGGAAAGGCCUCAGCUUGCUGGGGUACUCGAGUGGCGAACGGGUGAGUAACACGUGGGUGAUCUGCCUUGCACUCUGGGAUAAGCUUGGGAAACUGGGUCUAAUACCGGAUAUGAACUGCCUUUAGUGUGGUGGUUGGAAAGUUUUUUCGGUGCAAGAUGAGCUCGCGGCCUAUCAGCUUGUUGGUGGGGUAAUGGCCUACUAAGGCGUCGACGGGUAGCCGGCCUGAGAGGGUGUACGGCCACAUUGGGACUGAGAUACGGCCCAGACUCCUACGGGAGGCAGCAGUGGGGAAUAUUGCACAAUGGGCGGAAGCCUGAUGCAGCGACGCCGCGUGGGGGAUGACGGCCUUCGGGUUGUAAACUCCUUUCGACAGGGACGAAGCUUUUUGUGACGGUACCUGUAUAAGAAGCACCGGCUAACUACGUG
rnacentral:rRNA from 1 species